rnacentral:lncRNA from 1 species
GGGGACCUGGGGGCAGGGGGUACUGGGAACAGCGGGGGGGACUUGAAGAUGGGGAGGGGGCAGGGGACAGUGUGGGCCCCGCUCGCUCUGUCCCCCUUCAGUGCCCGGGGGACAGAGGUGGUGACCUCCAUGGUGGGCACAGGGGGGGCCCACGACCGUGUCCCUAUAUCACUGGCAGCCCCACGAAUCCCACCCGCUGCUGUCCCAGGGGGGUGACACCGCCACGUCACCAUGUCCCCGUUCCCCGUCACCUCACGUGGGCCCUUGAGGCCAGGGAGCUUUUUUUUCCCUCAAGAAAUGGCUGAAAUGGGGCUGCCUGGCGCCUCGGGCAAGCUGAUGUCCCCUGGCAGGGCAAUCUCGGCCCCUUUUUGCUGCGUGCCCUGGCCCCUUGUCACCUCCCUGGUCCCGGUCAUAUAGGGCAGAUGAGGGAUGGCGCCGUCCUGGCCCGGUCAGGACACCCCCAUCACCCCGAUCACGCCACGGAAAGGGGCAAGCUUUGGGGAUGUGCUGAGACAAAAGCAUUUUCCGGAGCCAUCUCAGCAGGGGAAUGAGCCCAAGAGAGGCCUUGGGUCCUUCCCUCAAAACCCCACACACAUUUGGGAUGUGACCAAAUGCCCUUCAAAACCAGGCGCAAUCAAUCCUGCUCCCAAAUCCUAAUUUCGGGGGCCCUCAGACUGCAUCUCGGUGUUCAGUGUGAGCUGCCGAGAUCAUUUCCAGCCUUCCUGGUGCCUGCCGUGUGCCUCAAAACCCCUCACGAAGCAUCGAGCGUCUCCCAGCACCGCCUCCGUGCGGGGCCGCCGGCAGAUGGAUGGCCCAGGCAGCCCAAAGCUGCGUCGUGUGUGCUAAAAAUACACCGAAACCCCAGAUAUGAAGGCCGGCAAAUCUCCUACACAAUUAAUAACGGGGUCAGAAGCCAUAUAGAUCCAGACAGAGCACAAAAUCUCUUCUGGGAGCUGGUCAGAGCUGCUCAUAGGGCCGGAAUAUCGCUGCCACAGGGACACGGCUCUGUCAGGGUGGGUCGUGCCAGGGGCUGUUUAUCCCGGAGCUGUUCAGCUCCUUUUACAUCUCCCACAGCCUCAGCUCCCGCUGUUAGGUGUUCCUGGCCUGCGUUUGGAGCCCCCUGGGAAAUAUCGGGUAGUUUUUGGCAGGUUCUUGGCAUCUGGGAGCGCUGCCAUCAGUGGGGCCUGGCAGCUGCCGCGCGGCCUGGGCCUCGCGUCGUUGCUGGGGGCCUUCAGAUAAAGCAUUUAUCAUGCACCAGGCGGAGUGUUCCUGCUGUAUUUUAG